rnacentral:rRNA from 1 species
AUUGAACGCUGGCGGCGUACUUAACACAUGCAAGUCGAUCGGUAACAGGUGUAGCAAUACAUGCUGACGAGAGGCGGACGGGUGAGGAAUAUUUGGGAAUCUGCCCAUCAGCGGGGGACAACCCGGGGAAACCCGGGCUAAUACCGCAUACGCUCUACGGAGGAAAGCCGGGGACCGCAAGGCCUGGCACUGAUGGAUGCGCCCAAAUCGGGGUAGCUAGUUGGCGGGGUAACGGCCCACCAAGGCGACGAUCCGUAGCUGGUCUGAGAGGACGAUCAGCCACACCGGAACUGAGACACGGUCCGGACUCCUACGGGAGGCAGCAGUGGGGAAUAUUGGACAAUGGGGGAAACCCUGAUCCAGCGACGCCGCGUGGGUGAAGAAGGCCUGCGGGUUGUAAAGCCCUUUCGGUAGGGACGAAAGCUCUUGCUCUAACAAGGCAGGAGGUUGACUUAACCUACAUAAGAAGCACCGGCUAACUCUGUGCCAGCAGCCGCGGUAAGAC